rnacentral:rRNA from 1 species
AUGUACGGUCAUAGAAAGAGGACAAUUGGGUAUCCCGUUCGCUCUGCCUUACACAAGCCUCUUAUCGAUGUCGUAGUAGUACCGUGGGUGACCAGGUGCGAAUUGGCAUUAUCGUACGUG